rfam:Sorghum bicolor cultivar BTx623 chromosome 3, whole genome shotgun sequence.
GUAGUCGGAUUCGCAUCAAUUCACAUAUGUUGGGAUGGGUUGGAGUGGAACUUAAACUAAAUUCCACCUCAAUCCACUACAACACAUCUGGAAUGAGGUGAAUCCGAUA